AGAUACGAUCCCAUCUACACCCUAAAGAAUAUUCCUUUACAAGUGGGACCUACCCUCAUGGACUGUGAUAAGCCCAUUUUAUUGGACUAUUGUUUUAUUACUUAUUUUAUUCUGUAUUUUAUCUAACUAAUUUAGUCCUUUAUUUUAUCAUAAUUUUAAGUUUUAGGCGCAUUCUUAUAUCUUUGUUUGUUUUUGUUAUCUGUUAUCAUUAGUGGAUUAUUGGGGACUCCCCUUUGAGGAGUGCUGCCUUUCCUAAUAAUUUUAUUGUGGCAAUUUAGCGCUGAUUUUUUCUCUUUUUUCAAAUAUAG